CUCACCUCGGUGAGGGCUCCAGCUUGUCUGAAUUAUUCACCCAUGUCUUUUGCGCACUUCUUGUUUCCUGGGCGGGUUCGCCCGCCACCAGGACCAAACCAUAAACCUUUUUGUAAUUGCAAUCAGCGUCAGUAAACAAUGUAAUUAUUACAACUUUCAACAACGGAUCUCUUGGUUCUGGCAUCGAUGAAGAACGCAGCGAAAUGCGAUACGUAGUGUGAAUUGCAGAAUUCAGUGAAUCAUCGAAUCUUUGAACGCACAUUGCGCCCUUUGGUAUUCCAAAGGGCAUGCCUGUUCGAGCGUCAUUUGUACCCUCAAGCUUUGCUUGGUGUUGGGCGUCUUUGUCUCUCACGAGACUCGCCUUAAAAUGAUUGGCAGCCGACCUACUGGUUUCGGAGCGCAGCACAAUUCUUGCACUUUGAAUCAGCCUUGGUUGAGCAUCCAUCAAGACCACAUUUUUUUCAACUUUUGACCUCGGAUCAGGUAGGGAUACCCGCUGAACUUAAGC
rnacentral:rRNA from 1 species